CUGAUUAGCUUGUUGGCGGGGUAACGGCCCACCAAGGCAACGAUCAGUAGGGGUUCUGAGAGGAAGGUCCCCCACAUUGGAACUGAGACACGGUCCAAACUCCUACGGGAGGCAGCAGUGAGGAAUAUUGGUCAAUGGGCGAGAGCCUGAACCAGCCAAGUAGCGUGCAGGAAGACGGCCCUAUGGGUUGUAAACUGCUUUUAUAAGGGAAUAAAGUGAGUCUCGUGAGACUUUUUGCAUGUACCUUAUGAAUAAGGACCGGCUAAUUCCGUGCCAGCAGCCGCGGUAAUACGGAAGGUCCGGGCGUUAUCCGGAUUUAUUGGGUUUAAAGGGAGCGUAGGCCGGAGAUUAAGCGUGUUGUGAAAUGUAGACGCUCAACGUCUGCACUGCAGCGCGAACUGGUUUCCUUGAGUACGCACAAAGUGGGCGGAAUUCGUGGUGUAGCGGUGAAAUGCUUAGAUAUCACGAAGAACUCCGAUUGCGAAGGCAGCUCACUGGAGCGCAACUGACGCUGAAGCUCGAAAGUGCGGGUAUCGAACAGGAUUAGAUACCCUGGUAGUCCGCACGGUAAACGAUGGAUGCCCGCUGUUGGUCUGAACAGGUCAGCGGCCAAGCGAAAGCAUUAAGCAUCCCACCUGGGGAGUACGCCGGCAACGGUGAAACUCAAAGGAAUUGACGGGGGCCCGCACAAGCGGAGGAACAUGUGGUUUAAUUCGAUGAUACGCGAGGAACCUUACCCGGGCUUGAAUUGCAGAGGAAGGAUUUGGAGACAAUGACGCCCUUCGGGGUCUCUGUGAAGGUGCUGCAUGGUUGUCGUCAGCUCGUGCCGUGAGGUGUCGGCUUAAGUGCCAUAACGAGCGCAACCCCUCUCCUUAGUUGCCAUCAGGUUAAGCUGGGCACUCUGGGGACACUGCCACCGUAAGGUGUGAGGAAGGUGGGGAUGACGUCAAAUCAGCACGGCCCUUACGUCCGGGGCUACACACGUGUUACAAUGGCAGGUACAGAGAGACGGUUGUACGUAAGUACGAUCAAAUCCUUAAAGCCUGUCUCAGUUCGGACUGGGGUCUGCAACCCGACCCCACGAAGCUGGAUUCGCUAGUAAUCGCGCAUCAGCCAUGGCGCGGUGAAUACGUUCCCGGGCCUUGUACACACCGCCCGUCAAGCCAUGAAAGCCGGGGGCGCCUAAAGUCCGUGACCGUAAGGAGCGGCCUAGGGCGAAACUGGUAAUUGGGGCUAAGUCGUAACAAGGUA
rnacentral:rRNA from 1 species